rnacentral:rRNA from 1 species
UACGUAGGAAGCAAGCGUUAUCCGGAUUUACUGGGCGUAAAGUGAGCGUAGGUGGCUUUUCAAGUCGGAUGUGAAAUCUCUCGGCUUAACUGGGAGGGGUCAUCCGAUACUGUUGAGCUAGAGGACAGCAGGGGAAGGUGGAAUUCCCGGUGUAGUGGUGAAAUGCGUAGAUAUCGGGAGGAACACCAGUGGCGAAGGCGGCCUUCCAGGCUGUUUCUGACACUGAGGCUCGAAAGUGUGGGGAGCGAACAGAAUUAGAUACUCUGGUAGUCCACACCGUAAACGAUGGAUACUAGGUAUAGGGAGUUUCGACCCUCUCUGUGCCGAAGCUAACGCUUUAAGUAUCCCGCCUGGGGACUACGGCCGCAAGGUUAAA